GAUGAACGCUGGCGGCAUGCCUAAUACAUGCAAGUCGAACGGGAUAUCUUCGGAUAUCCAGUGGCGAACGGGUGAGUAACACGUAGGUAACCUGCCCACUGUGCCCGGGACGUAACGCCUCGGAAACGGGUAGGCUAAAACCGGAAUAGGUAUCGCUUCUGCAUGGAAGAGAUAUUAAAGGAGCUGCAAGGCUCUGAACAUGGAUGGACCUGCGGUGCAUUAGCUGGUUGGUGAGGUAACGGCCCACCAAGGCGACGAUGCAUAGCCGGCCUGAGAGGGUGAACGGCCACAUUGGGACUGAGACACGGCCCAAACUCCUACGGGAGGCAGCAGUAGGGAAUUUUCGUCAAUGGGGGCGAACCCUC
rnacentral:rRNA from 1 species